GACGAACGCUGGCGGCGUGCUUAACACAUGCAAGUCGAACGGAAAGGCCCUGCUUUUGUGGGGUGCUCGAGUGGCGAACGGGUGAGUAACACGUGAGUAACCUGCCCUUGACUUUGGGAUAACUUCAGGAAACUGGGGCUAAUACCGGAUAGGAGCUCCUGCUGCAUGGUGGGGGUUGGAACGUUUCGGCGGUUGGGGAUGGACUCGCGGCUUAUCAGCUUGUUGGUGGGGUAGUGGCUUACCAAGGCUUUGACGGGUAGCCGGCCUGAGAGGGUGACCGGCCACAUUGGGACUGAGAUACGGCCCAGACUCCUACGGGAGGCAGCAGUGGGGAAUCUUGCACAAUGGGCGGAAGCCUGAUGCAGCAACGCCGCGUGCGGGAUGACGGCCUUCGGGUUGUAAACCGCUUUCGCCUGUGACGAAGCGUGAGUGACGGUAAUGGGUAAAGAAGCACCGGCUAACUACGUG
rnacentral:rRNA from 1 species